UACGUAGGUGGCAAGCGUUAUCCGGAUUUACUGGGUGUAAAGGGGGCGCAGACGGCGCGGCAAGUCCGGAGUGAAAUCCCAGGGCCCAACCCUGGGGCUGCUCUGGAAACUGCCGGGCUGGAGUGCUGGAGGGCCAGGCGGAAUUCCUAGUGUAGCGGUGAAAUGCGUAGAUAUUAGGAGGAACACCGGUGGCGAAGGCGGCCUGCUGGACAGCGACUGACGUUGAGGCCCGAAAGCGUGGGGAGCAAACAGG
rnacentral:rRNA from 1 species